GCCAGGAACCAGCGCCCACUGGGUGCCUUGCACACCAGCGGACCGCCCGAGUCGCCCUGCAAGGGAGAAAGGAGAGAGGACGGAAGCAGGUGCCUUGCGAUGGGCAAGGAGCGGAACCGCGUCUGAGCCUGACCUGCCUGUCACAUCUCUUCCGGUCUGUGGCUCUGCAACCUUGGGCAAGCUCCUCGGACCCUCCCCCAAGCCUCAGUCUCCUCUUCUGUAAAGUGGGGGCGGCCUUCGCCACCUUGCUGAGAGGAUGGGAGGCUUCAGCAGGCCGAUGUGAGCAAAGGGCCAGGCCCUGGUGAAGUGAGCAGCAUCCUCUCCCUCCCACGCCCGGGGGACUCACCUGGCAGGCAUCCUUCUUGCCCUUGCGGUAACCAGCACACAGCAUGCGUGGCGUCACCUGGUAGCGAUAGGCCUCGCUGCACAGGUCCUGUGGGAUCAGCUGCACAUCUGCUUUCUGCAGAGCGUUGCUGGUGGGGCCUGUCCAUGGUCAAGGGCAGAGGCUGCGGAUGUUCUCAGGUCUUCCUGUCCUGACACCUGUGUCUUCACCUGAAUGUCUCCUGUUUGGACACUGCCACCUCAUCCUCCAGGCCUCAGCUUCAACAACUCUCCCCUGAAGCUUCCCCUGACCCGACCUGGGCAGGGGCCUCCUCUGUGUCUUCAUGGUUCCUGCACCUCCCCGUCCAUGUCGGCCCUUACCGCUGUCUCUCUACCCCCCGAGAAUGUCCUCUUCAUCCUUACGUGCCCUUCCCCUAGCACCAUGCCUGGCACAUAGUUGAUGCUCAGAAACAUGUCACUGAGUGACUGAAUGAGUAGGCGCAUAGUGAAUGAACCAACCUUUGCUUUGCCAUGAUUCUGCCAUCCCCCUGGGCAAGUCACUGUUUCUCUGAGCCUCAGUUUGCCCCUUAAAAUAUCUCUGCGGCCCUGCCUGCCUCCAGAUUGUAAGUCAUUGUAUAGAAGCCACCAGCACUGAGGCUGCAGGGCAUGGCUGUAGGUUUGCCAGCUGGGCCUGUGUCCACAGAACUGUGCAGUGGCCUCCAGGGAUGGCCAGCUCUGGUCAGUGAAGGUAGAAAGGGGAGAGACCCCAUUUCUGAGAGCAGAAGCAGGAAGAGCGGGAGCUCUAGAGGCCCCAAAGUCCUGGGUUCCCAUCUCUGCUCCAGACCUCUCUGGCUGUGUGACUUACAGCAACAUGUCUCUGAGCCUUGGUCUCUCCAUCCAUAAAAUGGGCCCACAGCAUCCGCCCCAGGGCUGUUGGGUGGAUCCUAUGAAGUCACGUUCUCUUAAAAUCCAGCCUCGUGUGGAAAGUGCUAAUAAUUCAGAGCCUCCACCCUUGUAGCCCCAGGAGGAGCGGGUGGAGCUUGCACGUGGCCAAUGGUCCCAGACCUGCCCCUUUGCCCCACAGGAAACGCCCUUCCAGAAGGAAGGGAAGAGCUGGGAGGGUAGGGGCAGGGGGCCUAUGGGCCGCACUAAAUGGUGGUUUUCUACUGUAAAAAUUCAGCCCAAUUUGGAUCCCAGGACUAGAGGGCCCGUGGGUGGAGCCCCAGGGCGUCCAGCCCCGCCCUUCCCCUGGCC